rnacentral:rRNA from 1 species
CCUACGGGGGGCAGCAGUGGGGAAUAUUGCGCAAUGGGGGCAACCCUGACGCAGCAACGCCGCGUGAUUGAAGAAGGCCUUCGGGUUGUAAAGCUCUUUAAUCGGGGACGAAUUUUGACGGUACCCGACGAAUAAGCUCCGGCUAACUACGUGCCAGCAGCCGCGGUAAUACGUAGGGAGCAAGCGUUAUCCGGAUUGACUGGGUGUAAAGGGCGUGUAGACGGGCAUGCAAGCCAGGAGUGAAAUCUGGGGGUGUAACCCCCAAACUGCUUUUGGAACUGCGUGGCUUGAGUGAGGGAGGGGCAGGCGGAAUUCCCAGUGUAGCGGUGAAAUGCGUAGAUAUUGGGAGGAACACCAGUGGCGAAGGCGGCCUGCUGGACAGUAACUGACGUUGAGGCGCGAAAGCGUGGGGAGCAAACAGGAUUAGAUACCCUGGUAGUC